UAUCAUUACAAUCUUUGGAAGAGAUGAUGACACAAAUUGACCUAAAAAAAAUAAAUAAUUUGGCAUAACAACGAUCGGCUUAAUGUUGUAUUCAACGACAGACAGCUGAAAAAUUAUGCUGAACUUUCCACCCUACUUGAUUUGCCCUCAAAAGAAAUUUACGAAUAAAGUUUUUUGAAAGAGCAUAUUAUGAAUAGAGAUGAUACAUUGGGAGGUUUAAUUAAAGAUAUCCUAUCGGUUAAAUCCUCUAAAUAUAUUUAUGCUAAAGCAAUGGAAGCAAUAAAAACAGCUAUUCGUCCUAAUAUCCCAACGUUGUUUAUGAAAUGGGAAUCUGAUCUAUCCUUGGAUAUACAGCAUGAUUUAUGGUGUCAGGCAUUUAAUAAACUUUAAAAAAAAUAUAUCCAUGGUUUAAACAUUUUAGAAACUUUCCUAAAACUAUCUUUUAGAUGGUAUUUAGUACUGAUAAGACUUAAAAUCUCACCAAGCAAUCCUCCUAAUUGCUGGAGAUGCUUUCACAUAGAAGGCUCAUUAUUACACAAAAGUUGGAAACAAAUUAUUCCAUUGAACUCACUGUUUAAAAAGAAAGUGUUAAAACAACUAGAUAUGGAAAUUGGAGUUAUACAAUUUCAUUCUUAUACCAAUCGUAAAUUG